UACGUAGGGGGCAAGCGUUGUCCGGAUUUAUUGGGCGUAAAGAGCUCGUAGGCGGCUUAGUAAGUCGGGUGUGAAACCUCCAGGCUCAACCUGGAGACGCCACCCGAUACUGCUGUGGCUAGAGUCCGGUAGGGGAGCGUGGAAUUCCUGGUGUAGCGGUGAAAUGCGCAGAUAUCAGGAGGAACACCAGCGGCGAAGGCGGCGCUCUGGGCCGGUUCGUGACGCUGAGGCGCGAAAGCGUGGGGAGCAAACGGG
rnacentral:rRNA from 1 species